UUUAACUCAGAUGUCAAACUACUUCACAGCUUACAGAAUCGAUCAUAUAUUGGGUUUCUUUCGAAUUUGGGAGCUUCCAGAGCAUGCUAUGACUGGAUUAGUUGGAAAAUUCCGCCCUUCUAUUCCGCUAAGCCAGGAAGAGCUUGAAAGAGAGGGAAUAUGGGACUUCGAUCGCUUGAGUCAUCCAUAUAUCAAGGCUGAAUUUUUACAGGAUAAAUUUGGAGCUGCAUGGGGACUUAUUGCGUCACACUUUCUGAAUGAAUAUCAGAAGAAUUUUUAUGAGUUCAAGGAGGAAUGUAACACAGAGAAAAAAAUCGCUUCCAAACUGAAGUCACUUGUUGAAGAAACACAGUUGCAAAACCCAGAACAGAUACG
rnacentral:misc_RNA from 1 species